CGCGUGGGAACAUGCCCUAUGGUGGGGAAUAACGGCUGGAAACGGCCGCUAAUACCGCAUAAUCCCGGAUUUAUUCGGGAAAGAUUUAUCGCCAUUGGAUUGGCCCGCGUUGGAUUAGCUAGUUGGUGGGGUAACGGCCUACCAAGGCAACGAUCUAUAGCUGGUCUGAGAGGAUGAUCAGCCACACUGGGACUGAGACACGGCCCAGACUCCUACGGGAGGCAGCAGUGGGGAAUAUUGGACAAUGGGCGCAAGCCUGAUCCAGCCAUGCCGCGUGAGUGAAGAAGGCCUUAGGGUUGU
rnacentral:rRNA from 1 species